CGGACGGGUGAGUAAUGCUUGGGAAUCUGGCUUAUGGAGGGGGAUAACGACGGGAAACUGUCGCUAAUACCGCGUAAUAUCUUCGGAUUAAAGGGUGGGACUUUCGGGCCACCUGCCAUAAGAUGAGCCCAAGUGGGAUUAGGUAGUUGGUGGGGUAAAGGCCUACCAAGCCGACGAUCUCUAGCUGGUCUGAGAGGAUGACCAGCCACACUGGAACUGAGACACGGUCCAGACUCCUACGGGAGGCAGCAGUGGGGAAUAUUGCACAAUGGGGGGAACCCUGAUGCAGCCAUGCCGCGUGAAUGAAGAAGGCCUUCGGGUUGUAAAGUUCUUUCGGUGAUGAGGAAGGGUGAUGUUUUAAUAGAGCAUUACAUUGACGUUAGUCACAGAAGAAGCACCGGCUAACUCCGUGCCAGCAGCCGCGGUAAUACGGAGGGUGCGAGCGUUAAUCGGAAUGACUGGGCGUAAAGGGCACGCAGGCGGUGACUUAAGUGAGAUGUGAAAGCCCCGAGCUUAACUUGGGAAUUGCAUUUCAUACUGGGUCGCUAGAGUAUUUUAGGGAGGGGUAGAAUUCCACGUGUAGCGGUGAAAUGCGUAGAGAUGUGGAGGAAUACCGAAGGCGAAGGCAGCCCCUUGGGAAUAUACUGACGCUCAUGUGCGAAAGCGUGGGGAGCAAACAGGAUUAGAUACCCUGGUAGUCCACGCUGUAAACGCUGUCGAUUUGGGGAUUGGGCUUUGAGCUUGGUGCCCGUAGCUAACGUG
rnacentral:rRNA from 1 species